AUGGACCCGCUGCCAUCUCCGCCGCAGCUCAGCGUCCUGGAGAGCGCCGUCAUAGCGCCCCCGCCGGCGCCGGAGACCUCCCUCCCGUUCACCUUCUUCAACGUCUACUGGCUCAACUCACCUUCUUUUACGUCAUGA
rnacentral:rRNA from 1 species